GCUGGGCGCGGUGGCGCAUGCCUGUAGUCCCAGCUACUGCGGAGGCUGAGGUGGGAGGAUCGCUUGAGCCCAGGAGUUCUGGGCUGUAGUGCGCUAUGCCGAUUGGGUGUCCGCACUAAAUUCGGCAUCAAUAUGGUGACCUCCCGGGAGCGGGGACCACCAGGUUGCCUAAGGAGGGGUAAACCGGCCCAGAUCGGAAACGGAGAGGGUCAAAACUCCCAGGCUGAUCAGUAGUGGGAUCAUGCCUGUGAAUAGCCACUGCACUCCAGCCUGGGCAACGUAGCAAGACCCCAUCUCU
rnacentral:SRP_RNA from 1 species